rnacentral:lncRNA from 1 species
AGAGUCUGAUGUGCCCAGCAGGAAGCCCUUGAGGGGGCGUUGUGCUUAGUCCUCUAGGUUAUUGUAACCAGCAGGAACAAGAGCCUGGAUGUGUGCGGAGAAACUCUCUUCCUCCUGGACAGCCUCUGUGACCCUGUGGCUUUCCAUUUGGCAGGGGAAAAUGAAGACACAAAUGCUAUGUCCAAGGGGCCAAAGCUGUUCCGAGGUGGCAGCAGGCUCAGGAGGAGCCCACAGUCCGCCAAAUGAAAAGGCAGGAAGCAAAAAGGUUCCACAGCAGGAAGAGCACAGCUAGAACUGUGGCCCGACUGCCUGUCUCCAAGACGGUCCCAGCUACCUCGCAACCCACCGGGG